AUGAUUAAAGGUAUUUUCCGGUAGACGAUGGGGAUGCGUUCCAUUAGAUAGUAGGCGGGGUAACGGCCCACCUAGUCAACGAUGGAUAGGGGUUCUGAGAGGAAGGUCCCCCACAUUGGAACUGAGACACGGUCCAAACUCCUACGGGAGGCAGCAGUGAGGAAUAUUGGUCAAUGGGCGAUGGCCUGAACCAGCCAAGUAGCGUGAAGGAUGACUGCCCUAUGGGUUGUAAACUUCUUUUAUAAAGGAAUAAAGUCGGGUAUGCAUACCCGUUUGCAUGUACUUUAUGAAUAAGGAUCGGCUAACUCCGUGCCAGCAGCCGCGGUAAUACGGAGGAUCCGAGCGUUAUCCGGAUUUAUUGGGUUUAAAGGGAGCGUAGAUGGAUGUUUAAGUCAGUUGUGAAAGUUUGCGGCUCAACCGUAAAAUUGCAGUUGAUACUGGAUGUCUUGAGUGCAGUUGAGGCAGGCGGAAUUCGUGGUGUAGCGGUGAAAUGCUUAGAUAUCACGAAGAACUCCGAUUGCGAAGGCAGCCUG
rnacentral:rRNA from 1 species